rfam:Chrysosporum ovalisporum strain TAM-MAO genome assembly, contig: 7414
GAAUAGGGCGACUGAGUUCGAUGCAUUAGACCCGAAACCCGGUGAUCUAGGCAUGACCAGGCUGAAGGUGGGGUAACACCCACUGGAGGGCCGAACCGAUCAAUGUUGAAAAAUUGUCGGAUGAGUUGUGUUUAGGGGUGAAAGGCCAAUCAAACCGGGAAAUAGCUGGUUCUCCGCGAAAUCUAUUGAGGUAGAGCGUCGGAUGAAUACCGUGGGGGGUAGAGCACUGGAUGGAUGCGGGGGACGCGAGUCCUACCAAUUCUAACCAAACUCCGAAUACCCAUG